GACGAACGCUGGCGGCGUGCUUAACACAUGCAAGUCGAACGGGCCUGUCUUCUUUUUUGGGGGUGGGUUGAGUGGCGAACGGGGGAGUAUCACGUGAGUAACCUGCCCUUCGGUCCUGGAUAACCGCUUGAAAGGGCGGCUAAUACGGGGUGGUCCGGUUGGUCCGCAUGGGCUGGUCGGGAUAGAUUCACUGUUUUUGGUGUUUCGGCGGGGGCUGGGGUCGCGGCCUAUCAGCUUGUUGGUGGGGUGAUGGCCUACCAAGGCGGUGACGGGUAGCCGGGCUGGGGGGGUGGGCGGCCAGACUGGGACUGAGGUACGGCCCAGUCUCCUGCGGGGGGCAGCAGUGGGGGGUAUUGCACGAUGGGCGGAAGCCGGAUGCAGCGACGUCGGGUGAGAGAGGGAGGCCUUCGGGUUGUGAACCUCUGUUUCCGGUGGUGAAGGCCCUGUCCGUGUGGUGGGGUUGACGGUAGCCGGUGAUGAAGCGCCGGCUAACUACGUG
rnacentral:rRNA from 1 species